rnacentral:rRNA from 1 species
GACGAACGCUGGCGGCGUGCCUAAUACAUGCAAGUCGAACGCACUCUCGUUUAGAUUGAAGGAGCUUGCUCCUGAUUGAUAAACAUUUGAGUGAGUGGCGGACGGGUGAGUAACACGUGGGUAACCUGCCCUAAAGUGGGGGAUAACAUUUGGAAACAGAUGCUAAUACCGCAUAAAACCUAACACCGCAUGGUGUAGGGUUGAAAGAUGGUUUCGGCUAUCACUUUAGGAUGGACCCGCGGUGCAUUAGUUAGUUGGUGAGGUAAAGGCUCACCAAGACCGUGAUGCAUAGCCGACCUGAGAGGGUAAUCGGCCACACUGGGACUGAGACACGGCCCAGACUCCUACGGGAAGCAGCAGUAGGGAAUCUUCCACAAUAGGACGAAAGUCUGAUGGAGCAACGCCGCGUGAGUGAAGAAGGUUUCGGAUCGUAAAACUCUAGUUGUUGGAGAAGAAUGUAUCUGAUAGUAACU